GUGGGGGAUCUUGCGCUAAUGCGCGAAAGCGUGACGCAGCGACGCCGCGUGGGGGAUGAAGGCCCUCGGGUUGUAAACCCCUUUCGGCAGGGACGAAGGGAAACUGACGGUACCUGCAGAAGAAGUCCCGGCUAACUACGUGCCAGCAGCCGCGGUAACACGUAGGGGACGAGCGUUGUCCGGAUUCAUUGGGCGUAAAGCGCGCGUAGGCGGCUCGGAAAGUCGGGCGUGAAAUGCCGGGGCUCAACCCCGGGACUGCGUCCGAUACUUCCGAGCUGGAGGUAGGUAGGGGAGAUCGGAAUUCCUGGUGUAGCGGUGAAAUGCGCAGAUAUCAGGAGGAACACCGGUGGCGAAGGCGGAUCUCUGGGCCUUACCUGACGCUGAGGCGCGAAAGCUAGGGGAGCGAACAGGAUUAGAUACCCCAGUAGUCC
rnacentral:rRNA from 1 species